ensembl:lncRNA
AGUGAGUAAGACAGACAAUGUCCUUGAAAGGGAAGUGAAUGUGUUGCAGACUGGCUGGUCCAACACCCCCUGGGAGAUCUCAACACUGGUUGCACACCAGACACGUCUGUGAGACACCAGAAAAGCCCAGAGUAGAGCCACAACAAGAUGGCCACACCGUGGCAGGCGCCCAGGGCUCGUGAUCGCUCCCGGUGGGACUGAGUGGUUCACAGUGAGUCCAGGUCGGAGAACAGGCAGGUCCUAAAGGUCCGGAUUCAUGACCAGGUGCUGAAUUGACAUCAUCAGAUGGACUAACCGCCCUGGUGACAGAGUUGGUGCCGUUUCCCAGAUCCUCCUUGGGACAACCUUGCUAGUCACCCCUUCCUCCCUGCCCUCAGGGUCAACAGCCGGCCUAGCCAACCCGGGGUGGGAGGACGCCUGCUGCCUCCUGUUGCGGCAGACUCCCUCUCCCCUCUCUCUGCAGUCUCACUGGCAAAUGAGUAAGAAGAAUAGAAUUACAGUUGGGCUACACGAGACACAGAAUUAGCGGGAUUAAAUAAAAAUAGCUAUUAAAAGUGCCUUAUAAUUAAAUUCAUUUUCCAGUUAUUUGUUUUACACACACACACCCGCCAACACUCGUGCACACACGCACAUUCUCCAGGCCGCAGCUCCACAC